GCGACAUUAGCUCAUCCGGAUAGAGCAUCAGCCUUCUAAGCUGAGGGUGGUGGGUUCGAGUCCCGCAUGUCGCA
rnacentral:tRNA from 2 species